GAUGAGAUGGCCGAGAGGUUAAGGCGAUGGACUGCUUAUCCAUUGUGGUCUGCACACGUGGGUUCGACUCCCACUCUCGUCG